GAGGAGUCAAAGGGCAAAGGACAUGGAGAUCUGGGUUUCCCUUAGCACAGAGCAAAUCAGCCAAAGAGCCUGAGGCCUGGGUAGCCUGGGGAAGAGAAGCGGUCUUAAGGGGAAGAAUUUCGAUCAAGUAAUCCUGGAGUAUUGAGCCUGGGUUCCAUGGGAGUGCUACCAAGUCCAACAACAAGAAAGAAAAAAGAAUGUGGAAGGAAGCUACCUUCUCCUGCCACAGAUACUCUAUCCCAUUUGCUGUCAUCCAACGACUAACACCGUUUUCACUUCAGAACGUCAAGCCUUUUCUGUUCUCUUCAUGGCCUCCUCCCAUUAAAGCUGAAAGUAUCUGC
rnacentral:lncRNA from 1 species